UACGAAGGGGGCGAGCGUUGUUCGGAUUUACUGGGCGUAAAGAGCGCGCAGGCGGUCGAUCAAGUCGAGUGUGAAAGCCCCCGGCUCAACUGGGGAGGGUCAUUCGAUACUGAUCGACUCGAAGGCAGGAGAGGGUAGUGGAAUUCCCGGUGUAGUGGUGAAAUGCGUAGAUAUCGGGAGGAACACCAGUGGCGAAGGCGACUACCUGGCCUGUUCUUGACGCUGAGGCGCGAAAGCUAGGGGAGCAAACGGG
rnacentral:rRNA from 1 species